AUUGAACGCUGGCGGCAUGCCUUACACAUGCAAGUCGAACGGCAGCACGGGUGCUUGCACCUGGUGGCGAGUGGCGAACGGGUGAGUAAUACAUCGGAACAUGUCCUGUAGUGGGGGAUAGCCCGGCGAAAGCCGGAUUGAUACCGCAUACGAUCCACGGAUGAAAGCGGGGGACCUUCGGGCCUCGCGCUAUAGGGUUGGCCGAUGGCUGAUUAGCUAGUUGGUGGGGUAAAGGCCUACCAAGGCGACGAUCAGUAGCUGGUCUGAGAGGACGACCAGCCACACUGGGACUGAGACACGGCCCAGACUCCUACGGGAGGCAGCAGUGGGGAAUUUUGGACAAUGGGCGAAAGCCUGAUCCAGCAAUGCCGCGUGUGUGAAGAAGGCCUUCGGGUUGUAAAGCACUUUUGUCCGGAAAGAAAUCCUUGACUCUAAUACAGUCGGGGGAUGACGGUACCGGAAGAAUAAGCACCGGCUAACUACGUG
rnacentral:rRNA from 1 species